AGAGUUUGAUCCUGGCUCAGAUUGAACGCUGGCGGCAGGCCUAACACAUGCAAGUCGAACGGUAGCACAGAGGAGCUUGCUCCUUGGGUGACGAGUGGCGGACGGGUGAGUAAUGUCUGGGAAACUGCCCGAUGGAGGGGGAUAACUACUGGAAACGGUAGCUAAUACCGCAUAACGUCGCAAGACCAAAGAGGGGGACCUUCGGGCCUCUUGCCAUCGGAUGUGCCCAGAUGGGAUUAGCUAGUAGGUGGGGUAACGGCUCACCUAGGCGACGAUCCCUAGCUGGUCUGAGAGGAUGACCAGCCACACUGGAACUGAGACACGGUCCAGACUCCUACGGGAGGCAGCAGUGGGGAAUAUUGCACAAUGGGCGCAAGCCUGAUGCAGCCAUGCCGCGUGUAUGAAGAAGGCCUUCGGGUUGUAAAGUACUUUCAGCGAGGAGGAAGGCGUUGUGGUUAAUAACCGCAGCGAUUGACGUUACUCGCAGAAGAAGCACCGGCUAACUCCGUGCCAGCCGCCGCGGUAAAAGGG
rnacentral:rRNA from 1 species